UACGUAGGGUGCGAGCGUUUGUCCGGAAUUAUUGGGCGUAAAGAGCUCGUAGGCGGUGUGUCACGUCGGCCGUGAAAACCUGCAGCUUAACUGUGGGCGUGCGGUCGAUACGGGCAUCACUGGAGUUCGGCAGGGGAGACUGGAAUUCCUGGUGUAGCGGUGAAAUGCGCAGAUAUCUAGGAGGAACACCGGUGGCGAAGGCGGGUCUCUGGGCCGAUACUGACGCUGAGGAGCGAAAGCGUGGGGAGCGAACAGG
rnacentral:rRNA from 1 species